rnacentral:lncRNA from 8 species
AUGCCCCAGACAACGAGUAACCCCCCGGGCUUGUGCAUUGGUGCCAAAACCAUUCCAGAGAGAAAGCAGAUAUAUUCAUGCAAUGGUAUACUGGACCCUGCUCCAGGGUCUAGGUACAAGCAGGCCUAUCCUUUCAGGUAUAGGUGGAAAUGGAGGAAGAAGUCAAAAAAAAAAAAAACGCCGCCAUUGCCACCAGCCCCACCUCUGCCACCAUAUGAGGAAGAAAACUGGGAGGAGGAGAUUGUCUCAAAGAUUCCUUAUGGAUUUGCUCCAUAUGGACUUUUUCAUGUAGAGUGGUACUCAGUGAUACCAAACUGGAGAACACAUUUUGCUGAAACAGGUGCUAGAGGACUUCUUCAGCCCAGAGGAUGUGGAUAGAGUGGCCCUACAGGGGUUGACCCUGAACCAGACCCCCUGUCCUUCCCACCCCCAGACAGCAACCGACUACAGCCCUGCCACCCACCACCAAGCCCCCGUCAAAUGGGUCCGCCACAUCAUCCGUAUUGUGGAGGAGCAGUUUGUCGACGCAGAGGCUUGAGGUCCGGUGUGUCCCGAUAACAAACAAAAAAAGUGUAACUCUUUAAUCGUAAGCUCUUAGGAAUGAUUUUAGUUGGUUUCUCAGGUGUUUAAGUUCUACUUGUUCCUUGGUUUGUUGUUAAUGAAUUAGGAUGUCGUAUUUGUAGCCUAGGUGACAGUUGGGUUACAUGUUAACACUUCAUGAUUUUUUUUGUGAAUAAUUUCAAUAGAUGUCUAGUCUAACUCUCUUAACUAAAAGAGAGAUUGUAGUUUUUAUCUUUAAAUACUUUUGUUUUAAAAACAAUCAACUGGUAUAGGCCCAUGUGUUCAAGUGUCGCUCUCCCUUUAAAAUCUAAUUUGUUAAAAUGGAGAGGGCACAGUGCAAUAAUAAGUAUGUUUGGAUGUAUUCUCAAAUGGACUUACCUGAUUGGACUGAUUCUGAGCCCAUGGAGAGCAAGAGGUCAGGUUGCCAUGACUACAGCACCCUGUAAGACACAACCCACUGGGCACAGAUGUCAAUUCAACGUCUAUUCCAAGUUGGUUCAAUGUAAUUUCAUUGAAAUGGUGUGGAAAUAAUGUUGAUUCAACCAGUGUGCGCCCAGUGGGAAUGAAAUUCAGCUUUUGAGAUCCAAGAUAUCUUUAAUGCAAAUAAACCAUGCAUUUUAACAACAAAACUCUACACUGAUGCUUCAUUCCCACUGUUUUUCUUGUAGUGGUAGUAGUUCAGAAGAGAGAAUUGUAGCAUUAGAUGCCCACUAGGUGGCAGUGUUGGUUAAAUAUUACAUUCACCUCCAUUGCGCUGAAUUCUUUCCAUGCAGCUCUGGGUUUAUAUAGUGAGUUCAUUCAGUUCAUAGGCCCCGUUCAAAUACAAAAAAAUGCAUCCAUCCUUCCUUUCUGCCUUUCUUGAAAGUAAUCACAGAUCUGAAUUGGUGAAAACAAGAAGGAGCUAACCUUGCUGUGGGCCCGGUUUCCCUAAACCAUCUUAACCUUAAGUUCAUCGUUAGUACCUUCGUAGGAGCAUUGUUAAAUCUCUGAGCUGUUCACCAAAACUAUUUGUUAUUAACGUUGAACUUGAAAAUGCUUGUAAUCUUAACGCCUGCCUUAGACCACUCAUAAAACACUUAAAUGUAUUGUUGGUGUGUAGCCCAAACUGUUCGGACGCUACAGAAGUUGGCUGUACCGACUUCAGACGAGUCCCAAUACGCUUGUGGGGGUCGUAGAGCAAAACGAAGAACACCAUCGUGUUCGUGAGAGUCAUCGUUCCACAGAGGGAUCAUAAUAGUUUUGUAGGCCAAACCGUUCAGACACUACAGACGGGAUAUUCGGGAUGUCCCAUGGCCUGACACACGGCUCUAGCUCUGCCACCUUUCACCGCAGAUGUGGACGUCGGCGGAUGUGGUGGAUUGAGACGUAUCCAAUGCAACAAAAAAAACAUAUCCCUAGUUUAAACUGACAGAUUCUGAUGGGGAUGUUGUUAUUAUGCUAAUUAGACUAACGUGCGCAACGAUGUGACAAAUCGGUGUAUUUUUUUUGCCUGUUUAUUGGGUAAGCUUUAUAAUAAGCCGCCUCAAUAUUGCAGCCGUAGUUGGUAAUAUCUCUAGGAGCUGAGCCGUCGUC